rnacentral:rRNA from 1 species
AGAGUUUGAUCAUGGCUCAGAACGAACGCUGGCGGCAGGCCUAACACAUGCAAGUCGAACGCCCUAGCAAUAGGGAGUGGCAGGCGGGUGAGUAACACGUGGGAACCUUCCCUAUAGUACGGAAUAGCCCAGGGAAACUUGGAGUAAUACCGUAUACGCCCGAGAGGGGAAAGAUUUAUCGCUAUAGGAUGGGCCCGCGUCGGAUUAGCUAGUUGGUGAGGUAAUGGCUCACCAAGGCAACGAUCCGUAGCUGGUUUGAGAGAAUGACCAGCCACACUGGGACUGAGACACGGCCCAGACUCCUACGGGAGGCAGCAGUGGGGAAUCUUGGACAAUGGGCGCAAGCCUGAUCCAGCCAUGCCGCGUGAGUGAUGAAGGCCUUAGGGUUGUAAAGCUCUUUUGCCGGGGACGAUAAUGACGGUACCCGGAGAAUAUC